rnacentral:ribozyme from 1 species
GCACACAAUACAAGUAAGAAGUAGUACACGGUACCACAAACACAAAAUCGAAGGGAAAAGAACUCACACACACACACACACACAGAGGUGUUUUGCAUCACGAUCUUUUUUGUUUUGUUUUUUCAUCUUUUU